GACGAACGCUGGCGGCGUGCUUAACACAUGCAAGUCGAACGGAAACGCCCUGCAUUUGUGGCGUGCUCGAGUGGCGAACGGGUGCGUAACACGUGAGUACCCUUCCCUCGACCUUGGGAUAACUUCAGGAACCUGGGGCUAAUACCCGAUAGGAGCUCCUGCUGCCUGGUGGGGGUUGGAAAGUUUGGGCGGUUGGGGAUUGACUCGCGGCUUAUCCGCUUGUUGGUGGGGUCGUGGCUUACCAAGGCUUUGACGGGUAGCCGGCCUGAGAGGGUGACCGGCCACAGGGGGACUGUGCUACGGGCCGGAGCCGUACGGGAGACAGCAGUGUGGAAGAGUGCACAAUGCGCGCAAGUCGGAUGCAGCAACGCCGCGUGCGGGAUUACGGACUGCUGUUUUUAAAGCGCUUUGGCCGGUGACGGAGCGUGAUUGACGGUAAUUGAUAAAUAAGCACCGGCUAACUACGUG
rnacentral:rRNA from 1 species